UUCUUAUCAAGAGUGGCAGAGGGAACGGCCCUUAGAAGCCACGGCAACCGGUUCCGGUUUUUUCAGGUCGGAAUGCUGGUGCUAAUUCCGGUCCUGGUGAUAAACCGGGAACAGAUAAGAG
rnacentral:ncRNA from 2 species